GGGAGGCUGAAGUGUCAAAAGGUUCUCUUUAACCCUUAUGGUUGCUGAAAAUUUGAACAGGAAGGAAUUUCACAAAAACGUUUACAGUGGUUAUCUCUGGAAGGUAGAAUUACAGUGCCUUCCAGAGCUUGAGAAAUGCCACUGGAUCUCUCUGCUGCCUGAUCAAUAACUGUGAUUAUCCCAUCAGAACACUGUUGCUUCUGCCUCUGUGGGGAAGAAAUGGAGCUGCCCAUCUUCUAGACCUUGAACACCUCUGCCCUGUGGCCCCCUCAGUGGAGCCCUUUC